rnacentral:tRNA from 1 species
GUUUUAAUAGUUUAAUAAAAACAUUGGUCUUGUAAACCAAAAAUAAGAUCCUAACUUUUAAAACU